UCGGGAAUUUUGGGCAAUGGGCGCAAGCCUGACCCAGCAACGCCGCGUGAGGGAUGAAGGCCCUCGGGUCGUAAACCUCUGUCGGGAGGGAAGAACGUUCAUCGGGUGAACAAUCCGAUGAGCUGACGGUACCUCCAAAGGAAGCACCGGCUAACUCCGUGCCAGCAGCCGCGGUAAUACGGAGGGUGCGAGCGUUGUUCGGAAUCAUUGGGCGUAAAGCGCGUGUAGGCGGCUUGGUAAGUCGGGUGUGAAAGCCCGGGGCCCAACCCCGGAACUGCAUUCGAUACUGCCUCGCUAGAGUCCCGGAGAGGAGAGCGGAAUUCCCGGUGUAGAGGUGAAAUUCGUAGAUAUCGGGAGGAACACCAGCGGCGAAGGCGGCUCUCUGGACGGUGACUGACGCUGAGACGCGAAAGCGUGGGGAGCAAACAGGAUUAGAUACCCCCGUAGUCC
rnacentral:rRNA from 1 species